GACGAACGCUGGCGGCGUGCCUAAUACAUGCAAGUCGAACGCACAGUUUAUACCGUAGCUUGCUACACCAUAAACUGUGAGUUGCGAACGGGUGAGUAACGCGUAGGUAACCUGCCUGGUAGCGGGGGAUAACUAUUGGAAACGAUAGCUAAUACCGCAUAAUAUUGAUUAUUGCAUGAUAAUUGAUUGAAAGAUGCUAUUGCAUCACUACCAGAUGGACCUGCGUUGUAUUAGGUAGUAGGGGAGGUAACGGCUCACCUAGGCGACGAUUCAUAGCCGACCUGGGGGGGGGGUCGGCCCACCUGGGACCGGGACACGGCCCCAACCCCUUCGGGGGGCAGCAGUAGGGAAUCUUCGGCAAUGGACGAAAGUCUGACCGGGCAACGCCGCGGGGGUGAAGAAGGUUUUCGGAUCGUAAAGCUUUGUUGUAAGGGAAGAACGGGUGUUGGAGUUAAAAGUUCACACUGUGACGGUAUCUUACCAGAAAGGCACGGCUAACUACGUG
rnacentral:rRNA from 1 species